rnacentral:rRNA from 1 species
GAUGAACGCUAGCGAUAGGCUUAACACAUGCAAGUCGAGGGGCAGCAUGGUCUUAGCUUGCUAAGGCUGAUGGCGACCGGCGCACGGGUGCGUAACGCGUAUGCAACUUGCCUCACAGAGGGGGAUAACCCGUCGAAAGACGGACUAAUACCGCGUACACUCUAUGUUGGGCAUCCAAUGUAGAGGAAAUGAAAUUCGCUGUGAGAUAGGCAUGCGUCCCAUUAGCUAGUUGGUGAGGUAACGGCUCACCAAGGCGACGAUGGGUAGGGGAACUGAGAGGUUGAACCCCCACACUGGUACUGAGACACGGACCAGACUCCUACGGGAGGCAGCAGUGAGGAAUAUUGGUCAAUGGGCGAGAGCCUGAACCAGCCAAGUCGCGUGAAGGAUGACUGUCUUAUGGAUUGUAAACUUCUUUUAUACGGGAAUAACAAGAGUCACGUGUGGCUCCCUGCAUGUACCGUAUGAAUAGGCAUCGGCUAACUCCGUG